AACGAACGUUAGCGGCGCGCCUAACACAUGCAAGUCGAGCGAGAAAGGGCUUCGGCCCCGGUAAAGCGGCGCACGGGUGAGUAACACGUGGAUAACCUACCCCUUGGUGGUGGAUAACCUUCCGAAAGGAGGGCUAAUACAGCGUAAGACCACGACUUCGAAAGAGGUUGGGGUAAAAGUGGGCCUCUGUACACAAGCUCACGCCAGGGGAUGGGUCCGCGGCCCAUCAGCUAGUUGGUAGGGUAACGGCCUACCAAGGCGAAGACGGGUAGCUGGUCUGAGAGGAUGAUCAGCCACACUGGAACUGAGACACGGUCCAGACUCCUACGGGAGGCAGCAGUGGGAAUCUUGCGCAAUGGACGAAAGUCUGACGCAGCGACGCCGCGUGAGUGAUGAAGGCCUCGGUUGU
rnacentral:rRNA from 1 species